rnacentral:rRNA from 1 species
GGGCGUGCUUAACACAUGCAAGUCGAGCGGUAAGGCCCUUCGGGGUACACGAGCGGCGAACGGGUGAGUAACACGUGGGUGAUCUGCCUCGCACUCUGGGAUAAGCCUGGGAAACUGGGUCUAAUACCGGAUAUGACCUUACAUCGCAUGGUGUUUGGUGGAAAGAUUUAUCGGUGCGAGAUGGGCCCGCGGCCUAUCAGCUUGUUGGUGGGGUAAUGGCCUACCAAGGCGACGACGGGUAGCCGGCCUGAGAGGGCGACCGGCCACACUGGGACUGAGACACGGCCCAGACUCCUACGGGAGGCAGCAGUGGGGAAUAUUGCACAAUGGGCGAAAGCCUGAUGCAGCGACGCCGCGUGAGGGAUGACGGCCUUCGGGUUGUAAACCUCUUUCGACAGGGACGAAGCGCAAGUGACGGUACCUGUAGAA